CAGGCUGUGAAAACACUUCAGGCCAGUCCCUGAGUAGGAAUGGACAACAAGGUGGUCACCAUGCUGACAGCUAUUCCCUGUGUGAUUUACUUUAUUAUGAAGUCUAAAUUUGAUGCUGAAGUGCUAGCCUAAGCUCACUAACCUGCCAACUUAGAGAAGAAGGUAACCAUGGCUAGGAUGACUGGGAAUCUGAUGGACUCAAUUAAGAAUUUCUACAGAUGGGAAAACCAAAACUCCUUAGUGGCAAGAGGCCAAAGAUGGUCAGCGAAUUGUUGUUUCCGGCUGUUGGAAGUUGACUGCAGUUGAAUAACAGAACAAAAACGGAGCUUCAAAAUCAUGGCGUGCCUGCUUCUUCUGGGUUCUUUUAACUGCAAGCAAUCAGCUUUGAAGAGCACCUCAAGAAUAACAUUUACAUAUGAAAGAAAAUAGGAGAUGGCUCAGAAUAAUAUGUCCAAGGCCACGCCCAGGCGUCAGGGAUUCAUGAAUUUUGUAUACAGUGUAUGAUGUUUCUAGAUUAAAAUAUUUUCAAAGGUAAAAAAAAAAAAA
rnacentral:lncRNA from 1 species